rnacentral:rRNA from 1 species
AAUAGUGAUAUGGAGCAAAACCCUAAAAGACGGUCUCAGUUCGGAUUGAAGGCUGAAAUUCGCCUUCAUGAAGCUGGAAUUGCUAGUAAUGGCAGGUCAGCAUACUGCCGUGAAUACGUUCCCGGGCCUUGUACACACCGCCCGUCACACCAUGAGAGUUGGAAAUACCCGAAGCCUGUGAGCUAACUUUUAGAGGCAGCAGUCGAAGGUAGAAUCAAUGAUUGGGGUGAAGUCGUAACAAGGUAAC